rnacentral:rRNA from 1 species
CCAGUGGGCUGCUAUACAUGCAAGUCGAGCGGACAGAUGGGAAGCCUUUGCUCCCUGAUGUUAGCGGCGGACGGGUGAGUAACACGUGGGUAACCUGCCUGUAAGACUGGGAUAACUCCGGGAAACCGGGGCUAAUACCGGAUGCUUGAUUGAACCGCAUGGUUCAAUUAUAAAAGGUGGCUUUUACCUACCACUUACAGAUGGACCCGCGGCGCAUUACCUAGUUGGUGAGGUAACGGCUCACCAAGGCAACAAUGCGUAGCCAACCUGAAAGGGUGAUCGGCCACACUGGGACUGAAACACGGCCCAAACUCCUACGGGAGGCAGCAUUAGGGAAUCUUCCGCAAUGGACGAAAGUCUGACGGAGCAACGCCGCGUGAGUGAUGAAGGUUUUCGGAUCGUAAAACUCUGUUGUUAGGGAAAAACAAGUACCGUUCGAAUAGGGCGGUACCUUGACGGUACCUAACCAAAAAGCCACGGCUAACUACGUGCCACCAGCCGCGGUAAUACGUAGGUGGCAAGCGUUGUCCGGAAUUAUUGGGCGUAAAGGCGCGCGCAGGCGGUUUCUUAAGUUCUGAUGUGAAAGCCCCCGGGCUCAACCCGGGGGAGGGUCAUUGGAAACGGGGGAAACUUGAGUGCAAAAGAGGGAGGAGUGGAAAUUCCACGGUGUAGCGGGUGAAAUGCGUAAGAGAUUGUGGAGGAAACACCAAGUGGCCGAAGGCGAACUUCUUCUGGGUCUUGUAACCUGACGCCUUGAGGGCCGCGAAAGCCGUGGGGGGGAGGCGAACAGGGAUUUAGAAUACCCGUGGUUAGUCCACGCCCGUUAAACGAAUGAGGUGCUAAGUGUUUGAGAGGGGUUUCCGCCCUUAAUGGCUGCAAGCAAACGCAUUAAGCCACCUGCAGCCCUGGGGGUACGGUCCGCGAGACUUGAAACUCAAGGAUUGACGGGGCCGCACAGCGUGGACCAUGUGGUCUUAUUCCGAGUCACGCGUAGAACCUACAGUCUGACUCCUGACAGCUGAAUGGCUUCGCUCGGCACUGAAGGUUGCAUGCUGCUCAGCUAGUCGGGAAAGUUG